AAAAAGGGCUCCUGUCGUGAAUGGCACAUGGAGGGCAGCUUGGUUGCUCUUUGUGUGGAAUUGACAUGGAGAUUUCGGAAGCAUAAUUUUUUGGUAUUUGGGCAGCUAGUGAUCAUUGCUCCUGGUGCCCCA
ensembl:snRNA